rnacentral:rRNA from 1 species
AUUGAAAGCUGGCGGCAGGCCUAACACCUGCCAGUCGAGCGGAGCGACGGACGGGUGAGUAAUGCCUAGGAAUCUGCCUGGUAGUGGGGGAUAACGUCCGGACACGGGCGCUCAUACCGCAUACUCUCAGAUGAGCCGCGGUCGGGUUAGCUAGUUGGUGGGGUAAGGGCCUACCAAGGCGCCGAUCCGUAACUGGUCUGAGAGGAUGAUCGUUCACACGGGAACUGAGACACGGUCCGGACUCCUACGGGAGGCAGCAGUGGGGAAUAUUGGACAAGGGGCGAAAGCCUGAGUCAGCCAAGCCGAGUGUGUGGAGAAGGUCUUAGGAGUGGAAAGCACUUUAAGUUGGGAGGCGUUACCAACAGAAUAAGCACCGGCUAACUUCGUGCCAGCAGCCGCGGUAAUAC